UACAGAGGUCUCAAGCGUUGUUCGGAUUCAUUGGGCGUAAAGGGUGCGUAGGUGGCGCUGUAAGUCGGGUGUGAAAUUUCGGAGCUUAACUCCGAAACUGCAUUCGAUACUGCGGUGCUUGAGGACUGGAGAGGAGACUGGAAUUCAUGGUGUAGCAGUGAAAUGCGUAGAGAUCAUGAGGAAGACCAGUGGCGAAGGCGGGUCUCUGGACAGUUCCUGACACUGAGGCACGAAGGCCACGGGAGCAAACGGG
rnacentral:rRNA from 1 species